GCUAAAUUCAGACAACAGUUACAAGUUACAAAUUGCCGGCAUUAGAGGUCUACAAGCUCCAACUUCUUCUUCUUGUUACUAUCCUUCUCCACUCCCACCCCCUAGAUUUUCAGGAAUUUGCCGUUUGGCUCCAUCUGGGCUUUAUCUUCUACAGUCUCACACUUCUCUUCCAGAAGGGCAAAACGAAUGGCUCACUCAAUUGCCAAGGCCACACUUGGCCUCACACGACCAAACAAAAUCGAGCACCCAAAGAUAUCAUUUGUGGCAAAAGAGAUUGACUUGUUAGAAUGGAAAGGAGACAUACUUGCAGUAGGCACAACUGAGACAGACGUGGUCAAAGAUGAGAAUUCAAAGUUCAAAAAUUUAAUCCUGCAAAAACUAGAUUCACAAUUAGGUGGUUCGUUGUCUAAAGCAUCAUCGGAGGAGGAUUUUACUGGAAAGGCUGGACAGUCAACAGUUCUUAGGCUUCCCAAUCUUGGCUUGAAAAGAGUAUGUCUAAUUGGCCUUGGAUCAGCGGCAUCAGCAACUGCUGCUUAUCACAGUCUUGGUGAAGCAGUUGCUGCAGCAGCUAAGUCUGCUCGGGCAAGUAAUGUUGCAAUCAUACUUGCUUCUUCCGCAGAGCUCACUACUGAAUCAAAGCAAAGCGUUGCUUCAGCAAUAGUAACUGGAUCUGUAUUGGGGACUUAUGAUGACAAUAGAUUCAAGUCAGAGUCAAAAAAAGGGACUCUCAAAGCCGUGGAAAUUCUUGGUCUUGGCACCGGACCUGAGAUGGUAAAAAAACUCAAGAAUGCAGAAUAUGUUUGUUCUGGGAUAAUUUAUGGAAAAGAGCUAGUAAAUGCACCUGCUAAUGUACUCACACCUGGAGUACUAGCAGAAGAGGCCAAAAGGAUUGCUUCUGAGCACAGUGAUGUUCUUUCUGCAACCAUCUUGGAUGUAGAGCAGUGCGAAGAAUUAAAAAUGGGUUCUUAUCUUGGUGUUGCAGCAGCAUCUGCUAAUCCUCCGCAUUUCAUCCACUUAUGUUACAGGCCCCCCGGUGGAGAAGUCAAAACCAAGCUGGCCUUAGUUGGAAAGGGGUUGACGUUUGACAGUGGUGGCUACAAUAUCAAGACAGGACCAGGUUGCCUCAUUGAGCACAUGAAAUUUGACAUGGCAGGUUCAGCAGCCGUGUUGGGUGCAGCAAAGGCUCUUGGUCAAAUCAAGCCAGCUGGAGUAGAGGUUCAUUUCAUUGUUGCAGCUUGUGAGAAUAUGAUAAGUGGAACAGGCAUGAGGCCUGGCGAUAUUGUUACUGCAUCAAAUGGAAAGACAAUUGAGGUAAACAAUACUGAUGCUGAAGGAAGACUUACACUUGCAGAUGCUUUGGUAUAUGCUUGCAAUCAAGGAGCGGAGAAGAUUGUUGAUUUAGCCACAUUGACUCGGGCUUGUGUUGUUGCUCUCGGACCCUCUAUUGCUGGUGUUUUACCCCCAGUGAUGACCUGGCAAAUGAGGUACUUGCAGCCUCAGAGGUAAGUGGUGAAAAACUUUGGAGGAUGCCCCUGGAAGAAAGUUACUGGGAGUUCAUGAAAUCUGGAGUGGCUGAUAUGGUUAACACCGGUAGUCACCAAGGUGGCUCCAUCACUGCAGCUCUUUUCUUGAAGCAGUUUGUUGAUGAGAAGGUCCAGUGGAUGCACAUUGAUAUGUCUGGCCCUGUUCGCAAUGACAAGAAGAAAACUGCAACCGGUUUUGGUAUUUCAACUCUGGUUGCAUGGGUUCUGAAGAAUUCUUCUUAGUUUGGGCCUGCUCGGAUGACAAAUACCAUGUAUCUGAAGGAGGUCGAAGAAAAACGGGAAAGAUGUUAUUCAUGUUGUUCGAUGCUGGGUGUCGAGUUAUACUAAUAAAGACCGUUUCAGAAAAGAAAACGAGGCCAUUGCUGUGUUUUGGUUUUUUCAACUCUUGUUACUGUCCCUUUGGAGUAUGAAGUUUUCUUUUAUUUUUGGCCUUUUUGUCAAUGUUCAUUAUGUUCUUGUUGCUGGGAAAAUUGAAAAUUAAAGUAUGAAAAAUGUGAGGUAGAACUUUUUGUUCCCGUAAAAAUGAAUACAGAUUGUUCUUCAA